AAGCAGGCCCUAGAGAAUAAGAAGGAGGGGGCUGUGCCAAUGUGGGGCGAGGGAGUCGAGGCCGAAGACACAGCAAGUGCAAAGGCCCUGAGGGAGGUUUGAGCUUGGAAUGUCAUGUUCAUUGCUGCCUUUUGUGGCUCCUGGUGCACAGUGGGUGCUCAAGAAAUAUUCAUGAAAGGAAUGAAAAGAGGACGGGAGGGAGAAAAAGAGGGAAGGUGAGUUUCUCCAGCAAAGCCCUCAGUGAACACAUCUUUUUCUCUUUUGCUCAAAGGAAGCAGAAAACUAUCUCAUGGGCAACAUAUGCCAACUCUUUAAUGCUGUUCAGCUCCCUUGCCCUCUCCUCACCCUGACCAAGCCUCUCAUUCUCUGCAAAGAUGGAUUCUGGUUGCCGCCUGGCUAAUCCAGUCCCUCCUUAAAGAGUGUAUUUCAUUUUUCUGGGAGCAAAUGAGUGAAGGGGAAAAGACCAUCUCAGCUGCCUCCCUCCCAGGCCUGGUGGCUCCAGAGUGGAUUUAUCACUUGCGGAGAGACAGAGACAGAUGACCCACUAAGACAGAGAUAUUAACACUGUCAGCUGAAAACAGUUGAAGGCCUGGGUUCUGUCCCCAUAUUUCACGUAGCUCAGGUGUACGGCGGCCUGGGCUAAUGAGUUGCAUCCGUCAGGCCGGCAGAGCUGCUGGCUCACAGAGCCUGUCACUAAUGGGCCGCUUCAGACACUGGCAAGGCCUGUUAGGGGAGCUUGGUGUAUGUUGGGGGUGUGUGCCUGAAUCUUCUUUGUUGGACUCCACUCUCUUCUGACCAGCUUAGGGGUGCGGCCUGACACUGUUUGAAACUCCUAAAUCCACCUCCUUCCCGCCAGACAUUUGGAGAAAAACACCCAUCAGUUUGCACGUACCAGCUGUGUAGUUCUAGGUAAAUUAACUUCGCGGACCCUCAAACGUGUCCUCUAUACAAUGGAACGGAAUGGUACCUGCUUUGCAGGGUUUUUCUGAGGAUUAAAGCGAUGACGUCAGUAAUAAAGCCGUGGUUAAGGCCUGGGGUUAGGUAGGGUGCCAGUUGCAGCCCUGCCACUCGCCAGCUGUGAUGGAGAUUGCCAGCUGCCUCCCAACACCCGUUCUCCCCUUCACUCUCAGAAAACGCUCCCAUUGUUUAAACUAAGUACCCAGUGGCUGAGAAGAAAGGCUACACUUCCCAGCUACCUUUGCGGCAGGGCAGGAUCAUGUGAUUCAAAUCUGGCCAAUGGGAUGUGAGCAGCCGUGACGUCCAACGGCUACACUUCCCAGCUAUCUUCGCGGCAGGGCAGGGUCAUGUGAUUCAAAUCUGGCCAAUGGGAUGUGAGCAGCAGAGCCGUCCAUCUCUCUCAGCUGUGCUCUUAAAAGGAGGCAGACCCUUUCCACUCCUGCUUCCGGGUGGCUGGAGUGUGGACGUGGGCUGGCGAGGAGCCGUGCUGCGCUUGGUGGAAAGAGCAGUUCUGGGGCUGGCAGGGCAGCAGGACAGAAGGAGGGCGGGUUCCUGAUGCUGGCCCAGCUGUCCGGGCGGCUGACGAGAGACGAAGAAAGCUCUGUACUGUCGAAGCCGCAGUCUGGCCCCUUUGGCAAACCAGACUCUACUCCGCAGACCCUGAGUCCGGCUGGAGACCACCCCACCGGGCCCUUCAGCUGCGUGUCGGCAGCGUGCUUCUCCCGUGCGCUUUGAGCAAACAAGAGAGGUGUUGUACAUCUCCUUCACCCGCCGGUAGCGGAAGGCCAGCUUCCUCAUCCAGUCCACGCCACCAUGGACGCCGGAGCCCAGGCACAGGUUGGCUCCCGGGGCCGAACUGUGGAAGCCAUCAGCGGAGAAGUUAGUCAAUUGCUGGUACUUUGCAGAUACAACCCCCCACCCUGAAUACAGCUGCUGGACUAACAAGUUGGACAUGUGGAUGGGGGAUGAGUCAGAGCGCCACACGGAGUUAACAGCAGAAGCGACAGCUGGGAACCAGAAGGGGAAAGUGCGUGGGCGGUUCGCCACCUACAGCGGCUCGACUGUGAGAAGGAAAACCCCAGCUCUCCACAGACGCCUCUUCCCCUCCACCAGAAGCUUGGUACAGGCUUGCAGAACCACAGGAGUAAAGCUUAUGCUACAGUGUCACCAGGCAAAACCAGAGCCUGACAAGGGAUGUGUGUACCAAAAACUUAAAAAAUCACAGUCUCUUCAGAGAGAAAAAGAUGGGGGAAGCAGGUCAGUGUGGUCCCACGGCCUCUCAGGGGGUGGGUUUGACUGAUCCAUUUGGAAGUCAAGGUUGGUGCCUCCUCAUCGGGUUCCUGCUGCCAGGAAUUUGAGCACACCCUCCUCCUUCAUUCACAGGACAUCAGAGACUCUGGAUGUUGCGGAAGUUUCCCUUUAAGUAAUGAUGGGAAUGUAGAACAACACCUUAUGGACCACUCCCUGGGCAGUGCAGAAAGGUUAGAUAAUUUAUUCUUACAAAAGAACACUGACUACAAACUCAGAGGGUCCCCUGGGGAGAUGCCUGGAUGUUCUGCCAAGAGGUGGAGGCCAGGGAAGGGUGUCCGUGAAUCCUGCCUCCCCCACUUACCAGCUGUGUGAGGUUGGGCAGGUUACUUAACCUCUCUGUGCCUCUCAUUCCCCAAGUGUAAAAUGAGGAUGAUUAUAAGAGCAACUAUUUCCUAGGGUUACUGUGAAGAUGCAAUGAGUUAAUUCAAGUAAAGCAUUUGCAGCAGGGCAUGGUGCAAAAUAAGGGCAUUGCCAGGGUUGGUUUUUUAGUGUUAACUGAAAAAAAAAAAACAUGAGGGGCAUUUGAUUCUUGGUGCCUUACACACAGUAGGUCCUCAAUAGACGGUUCUUUUUUUAAUUGA